UCAUCAAGAGGGAGAGAACGAGAAAGAAAGAGGGGGAGAGGGUGUGGGAGAAGAAGAAAGAGAGAUAGAAAGACAAAUCUGGGAACUCCAACAAAAAUUAUUUUCAUUACGAAAUAAUGAUAAUAAUUCUUCUUCUUCUUCUUCUUCUCUUUCUCUUUCUACUUCUUCUUCUUUCUCUCGUUGUACACCACACCAAACGAGAAAUAUUUCUUUUCCUCAUCUCUCUUUUGAUGUUCGGCAUUUAUUUCUUAUUGGUUCUCCAGUUGGAGUAUUCAUGACAGUUCAAGGACUUACUCUCUCUCCGCCGCUUCCUUCUUCUCUUUCUUCCACUCCUUCUCAUCCUCUCGCUCCUUCUCUCUCUAAUCCUG
rnacentral:ribozyme from 1 species